rnacentral:lncRNA from 1 species
CAGUGGAGGGAGGCGGCAGCCCAAGUACUGGCGAGGCUUGGGCCGUCAGCACUUGCGGAGAGCAGCAGCAGCCACCUUAGUCUCUAGUGAAUCUUAACCAAGGGCAGGAGAGUCAAAAGGGUGUUUUUAGGCUGGGAGAGAAAUCUAUCUGCGGAAAACAAACCCACGUGUGGACAACAGGGGCCAAGCCUGGAUGAUUUCUCUGAAGUUACUGGUGAGAAAUGCAGCUCUGAGAACACGCCACCUCCACACCGCCUCCACACCACCUCCACCCACUCUGGCCAUGCAGGAUCCGCCCCCUCUUCAGUAUCUUUGCUACAACUUCUGCUCUGUUUCACACAGCAGAAACAGCCAUGAGGCAGCUCUCAGUACCUUAGUAGGACCGGUGAUGCCUUUUUUUUUUUUUUUCCUUAGUCAUAUCUCCAAGCAGAGCAUCAUCACCAGCUUCUGAAUUGGCUUUGACGAACGUUCUUAGCUGUCAAGGAUCCUUUUAACUGUCACUUUGGGCAAGGUUAUGUUAUUGCAGACAUUUUGAAUAUUUAACAAAAAUAAUUUCUAUAGCAGUUUUUUAAAAAAAAUUUAUUGGAUUUGGUGUGUCCAAAGCUGGAAUAUGAUGAACCCAACCAAACCACCUCCUAGAAAGAUGGCUUCUUCAAAAGCAGCUGGGCAGCACUGAAUGCAUCUGGAACUCUUUCCUCUCAUUCAUUCCACCCCACAUGUUCCACCAGUCUUCAGCAUGGCUGUUGCAUCUGAUUGUUUUAUAGUACUCAAUUCUUCCUCUUCGUACUCACUGACAGUAACCUUCCUUGAUUAUGAUUUUCAAUUUGUGACUGAUCACCUUUUCCUUUCAAGAGCAGAGACUCAUCUUUGACCUCAAUGACUUCUCCUUUUCUGAGGCUGAACAUCUUCAAGAUUUAGGGUCAACUCCUCCUCUCUAAACACCUGCAAAAGCAUUUAAAAAUGAGUCAGUUCCAGGGCUUAGUUUUCCUUUAUUAUACCAAAUUUAUUCAUAAUACAUUAUGCAGGUGUUUUGAUGAGAAUCCAGAAACAUCUUGAGACACCAUAUUUCUCUGAAAUGUGAGAAUUUAAAACCAUCGCUGUUCCAGGACAAGUCUUGUGGAUAGAGCUUUUUAUUGCAUUCAUUUGCAUUAUUGUGUUCCCUUCUCAGAACUCCUGUCAAUUAACAACAGCUUGAUCUUGCAGUUGAGAUAGCAGAACCCAGAGAAAAUUCACCCCAAGUCACACACUUGCAAGAUGGUGGAGCCAGGACUAGACCCAGUGUUCUUUCUGCUAGAUCAUUCUGCCUUUUCAGAAUUAAGGACAGAUCAGACAAUAAGCUUAUUCCUGAUCGGGCAUAUGACAGGUUCGAGCUGGAGGGGACCCCUCUCUAUACCUAUUUCAACUCCACCUUCCUAGAUAUUCAGUAGAUGUAUCUAAUUAGGAAAAAUGCA